UGACUAAUUCUGAAGAAUAUUAAUAUUGUAUUCAUAUUCUUAAUUUGCUGGACAGAUGUACAGCAGUGGUAACCCCACAAACAUUGCUAACCCUAUUAAGGAAGCCAGCAUCCGGAUUGAUAUACGAACAAAUAGUGGGCGGCUUACAUUAUUUGAGACAACAUUGUGUGAAAAAAUCUCAUGGGAUGAAAUUGGUUCACAUACUGAUAUGGAUCCUGGAGGUUAUUUACGUGCUUAUGAUGAGAAAGACAUUCAAUUAAUAUGCUGCCAAGCUGACGGUAGCACAUUGUGGCUUGUUCCACCUGUAGUCCAGGCUGGAUACAUGAAUUCUCUCAGAUGGAGCAUGGACAUCAUCUUUUCCUGGCAGUUAACCAGGGAUCGGCCCAAAGGAAAGGAAGUUGUGAGAUAUGAAUUGAUUGUUCGAGAUGAGGAUCUUCCAACAUAUUCAGAAAUAAUGGCAGUGCUAAAUGGUAGUGCCAAUAGCUUCAGAAUACAUAAUGUUUUUCCAAGAUACUUCCGGGUUACUGGAUCUGGUGAAGUUCGAUUUUUGGAAGAUUUGGUAUGUUGUUUUCCUUCCCCUAUGCUUUCCUCUCUUGCCUUGAUGUUUAUGAAUACUGGCAACCAAGGUAAUCCAUCAGUGUCAAUUGAUCAGCUACCAUUGAAAACAGCAGUUUGACAUUAUGUUUAUGCAGGUAGAUCUGGUUAGUGGGGAUCUUGUUCUCAAUCGUGGAAAUCUGGAGUGGUGGUCUUUUCAUGUCAUUAAUGUGUCAUCUGGAUGUGGUGACUUUGCAGGUCCUAUGGCCAUAAUUGUAUCUGAGGAAACACCACAGGGCAUUCUAGGUGAAACACUUAGCAAGUUCAGUAUCUGGGGUCUGUACAUUACCUUUGUGCUCGCAGUUGGUCGUUUUAUCAGACUACAAUGUUCUGAUCUAAGAAUGAGAAUACCAUUUGAGAAUCUUCCUUCUUGUGACAGGUUGAUGGCAAUCUGUGAGGAUAUUUAUGCUGCAAGAGCAGAGGGUGAGCUUGAAGUUGAAGAGGUUCUUUAUUGGACACUGGUGAAGAUUUAUCGAUCUCCACACAUGCUGCUUGAAUACACCAAGCCUGACUAAGUCAUCUGGGAUGUGUGAUCUCUUGUCACUUGCUAUCCUUCCUAGCAUAAAUGCUUAAAUCUAGACCCGAUUUGAUUGAGACUAUAAAAACUCAUUAUUUAUUGAUGGGAAAUUUUGAGGAUUCAUUUAGCAGUGAUGCACAUUUUUUUCAAUUGGAUAAAAGGAUCUUUUUAUUAUUGGAAUUUUUUUCCUUCCAUGGAAGAUUUCCCAUAAUUAGAUGUACAGGUUAACGAGCACAAAAAUGUUACAGGCAAGGGAAAUGUGGAAGCUCUACUAAUUUUGAAAAGAGCUUCUGUAGUCCAUGGAGUGAACUUAACAAUGGAAAAUGUAAAAUUCCACAUUCUUGGCGAAUUGUAUAGAUUUAUGCUACAUCUUCCUGAAAUUACUAGUUCUACUUUUAGAACUGGUUUAUACUUCUGUUGAAUGAAUCUAGUACUUGCUAUGGCAAAAGACUUGAGUGUCGAUUGAAUCCUUACCUUUUGGCGAUGAAAUGCUGCUACCCUGAAAUCCUUGGGGUAUUCUUCAUGUUCAUACUUCCUUACAAUCUGUAGAAUUCAUGUUGAAGAAACACUUGAUUUUGAUCAUAGUACUUUGUUGCAUUGUUAAGCUCUUGGACAGAAAAGCAUCGGAUAGGAACUCUGCCAUUAAUUAUUAAAGGUGAUCGAUUCCUCUAAUAACGUUCCUCCAUUUCUAAUUAGCACUGUCUCAUCCUUCUUGGCUCUAAGGAGUGGAGUUAUCUUGCCUUUGCAAUAAACUCCAAAUUCAGUACUCACUCAAAUCAUGAAGUGCUUUGCUCUCUGGCUAGCAAGUACAAUGUUUCCUGUGAUUUCACUUGUGCCUAUGGAUAUAUUUCCG
rnacentral:misc_RNA from 1 species